rnacentral:rRNA from 1 species
GACGAACGCUGGCGGCGUGCUUAACACAUGCCAGUCGAACGGAAAGGCCCUGCUUUUGUGGGGUGCUCGAGUGGCGAACGGGUGAGUAACACGUGAGUAACCUGCCCUUGACUUUGGGAUAACUUCAGGAAACUGGGGCUAAUACCGGAUAGGAGCUCCUGCUGCAUGGUGGGGGUUGGAAAGUUUCGGCGGUUGGGGAUGGACUCGCGGCUUAUCAGCUUGUUGGUGGGGUAGUGGCUUACCAAGGCUUUGACGGGUAGCCGGCCUGAGAGGGUGACCGGCCACAUUGGGACUGAGAUACGGCCCAGACUCCUACGGGAGGCAGCAGUGGGGAAUAUUGCACAAUGGGCGGAAGCCUGAUGCAGCAACGCCACGUGCGGGAUGACGGCCUUCGGGUUGUAAACCGCUUUCGCCUGUGACGAAGCGUGAGUGACGGUAAUGGGUAAAGAAGCACCGGCUAACUACGUG